GCAAGUGAGAAAGCUAAAAAAUUAUAGAACAAAUUAAGGUGAAGCUCCAAGAAGGAAUACAAAGAAUCGGCAUCUUUUUAUAAAGAAUGGAGUAUCAUCAUCAGACAACUACAGAACCAACAAACGUGCAGAAAAAAAAAGCAGGAGGAGCCCUCGUCGGAAAUUCCCUCAUCGCCCAUGGCUACUCCUCCGCAUGACAACUUCUAACGCAGAAGGAGCGGUCAGAAGGGCUGUUGGUGUUCUUAAGCUUGGGGCUGGCAGACUUCGUCUUUAAGGAUGAGGAGGAGAAGCAGCAGCGAUGAGAACGGGAAGAGUCGGCAAAGGGAGAGAACUUUCGAACAUUUUGACGUUGCUUUAGGGAACUGACAUGAGUGUGAAGAUGGGGAUUUCAUUAUUAAAGAAAAUCAGAAGUUGACGCAGGAAAAGAUUUAUUUGAUGUUGAAAAAGAUGCAUAAGUACAAGUUGGUGGCAUCCCUACCUGAACUCGUAAUUGAGUUUGACAUGGGGCAUUUGGCUGGACCAUCAGUUUUAUUUUAUGAUUUAGGUCUCUCAUUCAGACUUGGAAAAUUCAUCCGUGGCAUAUGUAUGCUAGGUCCUUGGACCAGGCAUCGGGCCGGACUGGGCUGGCCCGAGGUUCCCGCCCCGCCUACCUCCAGAUCUGGUUAGUUCUGACGGUCAACUUCAAGUACCUUAUUUAAAACUUUUAAUGUUAACCGUUUCUACUACAGUAAAAGGAAG